AGGGUUUGAUCAUGGCUCAGAACGUACGCUGGCGGCACGCCUAACACAUGCAAGUCGAACGAAGUAGCAAUACUUAGUGGCAGACGGGUGAGUAACAUGUAGGUAUCUGCCCUUUGGCCUGGAAUAACACGAGGAAACUUGUGCUAAUACCGGAUAAGUCUUUACGGAGAAAGCUUUAUGCACCAUUGGAUGAGCCUGCACUUGAUUAGUUUGUUGGUGGGGUAAUGGCCUACCAAGACUGUGAUCAAUAGCUGAUUUGAGAGGAUGAUCAGCCACAUUGGGACUGAGACACGGCCCAAACUCCUACGGGAGGCAGCAGUGGGGAAUCUUGCACAAUGGAGGAAACUCUGAUGCAGCGAUGCCGCGUGAGUGAAGAAGGCCCUUGGGUUGUAAAGCUCUUUCGUCGGGGAAGAAAAUGACUGUACCCGAAUAAGAAGGUCCGGCUAACUUCGUGCCAGCAGCCGCGGUAAUACGAAGGGACCUAGCGUAGUUCGGAAUUACUGGGCUUAAAGAGUUCGUAGGUGGUUGAAAAAGUUAGUGGUGAAAUCCCAGAGCUUAACUCUGGAACUGCCAUUAAAACUUUUCAGCUAGAGUAUGAUAGAGGAAAGCAGAAUUUCUAGUGUAGAGGUGAAAUUCGUAGAUAUUAGAAAGAAUACCAAUUGCGAAGGCAGCUUUCUGGAUCAUUACUGACACUGAGGAACGAAAGCAUGGGUAGCGAAGAGGAUUAGAUACCCUCGUAGUCCAUGCCGUAAACGAUGUGUGUUAGACGUUGGAAAUUUAUUUUCAGUGUCGCAGGGAAACCGAUAAACACACCGCCUGGGGAGUACGACCGCAAGGUUAAAACUCAAAUGAAUUGACGGGGACCCGCACAAGUAGUGGAGCAUGUGGUUUAAUUCGAAGAUACGCGCAGAACCUUACCAACACUUGACAUGUUCGUCGCGACUCUAAGAGAUUAGAGUUUUCGGUUCGGCCGGACGAAACACAGGUGCUGCAUGGCUGUCGUCAGCUCGUGUCGUGAGAUGUUGGGUUAAGUCCCGCAACGAGCGCAACCCUCACUUUUAGUUGCCAUCAUUAAGUUGGGCACUCUGAAAGAACUGCCAGUGAUAAGCUGGAGGAAGGUGGGGAUGACGUCAAGUCCUCAUGGCCCUUACGUGUUGGGCUACACACGUGCUACAAUGGUAUCUACAACAGGAAGCAAGACUGCGAAGUUAAGCAAAUCCUUAAAAGAUACCUCAGUUCGGAUUGCACUCUGCAACUCGAGUGCAUGAAGCUGGAAUUACUAGUAAUCGUGGAUCAGCGUGCCACGGUGAAUGCGUUCCCGGGUCUUGUACACACCGCCCGUCACACCAUGGGAGUUGGUUCUACCUUAAGGCAAGGUUUAAAACCCUUGACCACGGUAUAGUCAGCGACUGGGGUGAAGUCAUAACAAGGUAGCC
rnacentral:rRNA from 1 species